rnacentral:rRNA from 1 species
UAGUCCGCACGGUAAACGAUGGAUGCUCGCUAUCGGCGCUUGGCGUCGGUGGCAACGCGAAAGCUUUAAGCAUCCCACCUGGGGAGUACGCCGGCAACGGUGAAACUCAAAGGAAUUGACGGGGGCCCGCACAAGCGGAGGAACAUGUGGUUUAAUUCGAUGAUACGCGAGGAACCUUACCCGGGCUUGAAUCGCGGAAGAUUUAUCCGGAGACGGGUAUUCCCCUCGGGGCUUCCGCGA